UUUGGUGCUUGUCAAGGGAGUAACUAGUUGGAUGCAUAAAUAGGGGAAUUGUGUCGACUUCUAAUCAUAUAUUUAUAAAAAAAUCUACCAAAGGAAGGAGACGACUAAGAACUAAUUAACUUUUAACUUCCUAGAUUCCUUAUUAUAUAGUAGAUUGUGUUUGUCUGGUAAUCUUUACAUGGAGGUAUACACAUGGGUUCUGAAAUUUAUGUUGGCCCUUCUGCUUAUACAGCUUCAGAUGAGAGGUAAAGCUUCUGUAUGUGUGCUCUGCAACUAUGAGAAGCCAGGAUUGUACAUAAGAAGGUUUCAGAGAGUAAUCAGGAUUUCCAAAUAAAUGGAUGAUGCAUGGAUGAGAUGUUGAUAAGAAGUUGGAGAAUAGUGCUUCUACCAUAGUUAUACAUUAUGUUUUGGAAUGUCAUUUUAACAUAUACACAUCUUGUAAUCAUUGCAUCGUGUUCUUUGUAAAGCUACAUAGUUGAUUUAAUAUAUGAGAUUAUUUUGUUUA